rnacentral:rRNA from 1 species
AUUGAACGCUGGCGGCAGGCCUAACACAUGCAAGUCGACCGAGUGGCGGACGGGUGAGUAAUGUCGGGGAAACUGCCUGAUGGGGGGGGAUAACUACUGGAAACGGUAUCUAAUACCGCAUACCAUCGAAUGUGCCCAGAGGGGAUUAGCUAGUGGGUGGGGUAAAGGCGCACCUAGGCGACGAUCCCUAGCUGGUCUGCGAGGAUGACCAGCCAAACGGGAACUGGGAAACGGUCCAGACUCCUACGGGAGGCAGCAGUGGGGAAUAUUGCGCAAUGGGCGCAAGCCUGAUGCAGCCAUGCCGCGUGUAUGAAGAAGGCCUGCGGGUUGUAAAGUACUUUCAGCGGGGAGGCGUUACCCGCAGAAGAAGCACCGGCUAACUCCGUGCCAGCAGCCGCGGUAAUAC